rnacentral:rRNA from 1 species
AGCGAACGCUGGCGGCAGGCCUAACUCAUGCAAGUCGAGCGCCGUAGCAAUACGGAGCGGCAGACGGGAGAGUAACACGUGGGAACGUGCCCUUUGGUUCGGAACAACCCAGGGAAACUUGGGCUAAUACCGGAUAAGCCCUUACGGGGAAAGAUUUAUCGCCGAAGGAUCGGCCCGCGUCUGAUUAGCUAGUUGGUGGGGUAAUGGCCCACCAAGGCGACGAUCAGUAGCUGGUCUGAGAGGAUGAUCAGCCUCACUGGGACUGAGACACGGCCCAGACUCCUACGGGAGGCAGCAGUGGGGAAUAUUGGACAAUGGGCGCAAGCCUGAUCCAGCCACGCCGCGUGGGUGAUGAAGGCCCUAGGGUUGUAAAGCCCUUUCGGCGGGGAAGAUAAUGACGGUACCCGCAGAAGAAGCCCCGGCUAACUUCGUGCCAGCAGCCGCGGUAAAAC